AACGCGAAGAACCUUACCAGGUCUUGACAUCCCUCUGAAUACGCUAGAGAUAGCGUAGGCCUUCGGGACAGAGGAGACAGGUGGUGCAUGGUUGUCGUCAGCUCGUGUCGUGAGAUGUUGGGUUAAGUCCCGCAACGAGCGCAACCCUUGAUCUUAGUUGCCAGCACGUUAAGGUGGGCACUCUAGGAUGACUGCCGGUGACAAACCGGAGGAAGGUGGGGAUGACGUCAAAUCAUCAUGCCCCUUAUGACCUGGGCUACACACGUACUACAAUGGUCGGUACAACGGGGAGCGAAAUCGCGAGAUGGAGCCAAUCCUUAUAAGCCGAUCUCAGUUCGGAUUGCAGGCUGCAACUCGCCUGCAUGAAGUCGGAAUUGCUAGUAAUCGCGGAUCAGCAUGCCGCGGUGAAUACGUUCCCGGGCCUUGUACACACCGAUACUC
rnacentral:rRNA from 1 species